rnacentral:rRNA from 1 species
CAUCUAAGUGUGAAACCCACCUCAAGAUGAGAUUUCCCAUGAUUAUAUAUCAGUAAGAGCCCUGAGAGAUGAUCAGGUAGAUAGGUUAGAAGUGGAAGUGUGGCGACACAUGUAGCGGACUAAUACUAAUAGCUCGAGGACUUAUCCAAA